UGCCCUCACGGACUAACAAUUAUAUAUGGG
rnacentral:piRNA from 1 species